rnacentral:rRNA from 1 species
UACAGAGGGGGCAAGCGUUGUUCGGAAUUACUGGGCGUAAAGGGCGCGUAGGCGGCCUGUUAAGUCGAACGUGAAAUCCCCGGGCUCAACCCGGGAACUGCGUCCGAUACUGGCAGGCUUGAAUCCGGGAGAGGGAUGCGGAAUUCCAGGUGUAGCGGUGAAAUGCGUAGAUAUCUGGAGGAACACCGGUGGCGAAGGCGGCAUCCUGGACCGGUAUUGACGCUGAGGCGCGAAAGCCAGGGGGAGCAAACAGG